CACAGGAGCAAGGGAUGUCUGAGCACAAGUGGCUGAGUUCCGAGUGACUUUAUGAAGCACUUUCUACCUUCCUCUCCGGCAUGAAAACAGGGAUUCUGCACCUGCAUCAUGGACAGUCUGGCAAAAGCCUCUGCUCUGCCUCCGGGGACAAGAAACUAGAGCAAAUAACCGUUUUGAAAUUAGAUCCUGGCAAAAUUACCAACAAUCAAUGAUGGAAACUGAAGGGAGAUUGAUUUAAAUCUUCAAUGACAGUUGUACAGAAGUUGAAGAAACACGUCAUCUUUCCAAAGAAGAGUGAGUAGCUUGGUUGGUGGUACCCUAAAAUUAGGGCAUGAUUAAG
rnacentral:lncRNA from 1 species